rnacentral:rRNA from 1 species
AGAGUUUGAUCCUGGCUCAGAUUGAACGCUGGCGGCAUGCCUUACACAUGCAAGUCGAACGGCAGCACGAGAGCUUGCUCUUGGUGGCGAGUGGCGAACGGGUGAGUAAUAUAUCGGAACGUACCCUAGAGUGGGGGAUAACGUAGCGAAAGUUACGCUAAUACCGCAUACGAUCUACGGAUGAAAGUGGGGGAUCGCAAGACCUCAUGCUCAUGGAGCGGCCGAUAUCUGAUUAGCUAGUUGGUGGGGUAAAAGCUCACCAAGGCGACGAUCAGUAGCUGGUCUGAGAGGACGACCAGCCACACUGGAACUGAGACACGGUCCAGACUCCUACGGGAGGCAGCAGUGGGGAAUUUUGGACAAUGGGCGCAAGCCUGAUCCAGCAAUGCCGCGUGAGUGAAGAAGGCCUUCGGGUUGUAAAGCUCUUUUGUCAGGGAAGAAACGGUGGACUCUAAUACAGAUCACUAAUGACGGUACCUGAAGAAUAAGCACCGGCUAACUACGUGCCAGCAGCCGCGGUAAUACGUAGGGUGCAAGCGUUAAUCGGAAUUACUGGGCGUAAAGCGUGCGCAGGCGGUUGUGCAAGACAGAUGUGAAAUCCCCGGGCUCAACCUGGGAAUUGCAUUUGUGACUGCACGGCUAGAGUGUGUCAGAGGGGGGUAGAAUUCCACGUGUAGCAGUGAAAUGCGUAGAGAUGUGGAGGAAUACCGAUGGCGAAGGCAGCCCCCUGGGAUAACACUGACGCUCAUGCACGAAAGCGUGGGGAGCAAACAGGAUUAGAUACCCUGGUAGUCCACGCCCUAAACGAUGUCUACUAGUUGUCGGGUCUUAAUUGACUUGGUAACGCAGCUAACGCGUGAAGUAGACCGCCUGGGGAGUACGGUCGCAAGAUUAAAACUCAAAGGAAUUGACGGGGACCCGCACAAGCGGUGGAUGAUGUGGAUUAAUUCGAUGCAACGCGAAAAACCUUACCUACCCUUGACAUGUCUGGAAUCCUUGAGAGAUCAGGGAGUGCUCGAAAGAGAAUCAGAACACAGGUGCUGCAUGGCUGUCGUCAGCUCGUGUCGUGAGAUGUUGGGUUAAGUCCCGCAACGAGCGCAACCCUUGUCAUUAGUUGCUACGAAGGGCACUCUAAUGAGACUGCCGGUGACAAACCGGAGGAAGGUGGGGAUGACGUCAAGUCCUCAUGGCCCUUAUGGGUAGGGCUUCACACGUCAUACAAUGGUACAUACAGAGGGCCGCCAACCCGCGAGGGGGAGCUAAUCCCAGAAAGUGUAUCGUAGUCCGGAUUGUAGUCUGCAACUCGACUACAUGAAGUUGGAAUCGCUAGUAAUCGCGGAUCAGCAUGUCGCGGUGAAUACGUUCCCGGGUCUUGUACACACCGCCCGUCACACCAUGGGAGCGGGUUUCACCAGAAGUGGGUAGCCUAACCGCAAGGAGGGCGCUCACCACGGUGGGAUUCGUGACUGGGGUGAAGUCGUAACAAGGUA